rnacentral:lncRNA from 1 species
AAACAGACUUGAUGCAGCCUCACAGAAAUUUCUGCUUCCAAGCCAUUGGUCAGUGAUUUUAGUUUGGCCCCAAAUUAAGGCAGAAAAGUUAGCUAGAGAAAGUAUCUCAUGAUGCAAGAGGAUGACCCAGGAGCAAAUGGAACAUGGGGGCUGAGUGUCACAGGAAAACAAGACUACUGCAUCAGACGAUGGUACAUUGAGAUUCUGACUCCUGCAGAUUCUAACGUAAGAAUAUUCUGAUGAAAAAUAGCCAGAGAAGAAGAUUGUACAUCUUGGGAGGUGUCCGCAGAAGAUGGCCUUGGACCAGGUGCUUUCUCAAUAAAUAGUGGCAGAGAAAUAUUCAUGCAACUGAAAUGACUGGAAAAUCACUACUGUCUGACAUAAUUUCCUUUCAAGAGCCUAGAGAGUUAGGAGAAGAUCCAGAUAACUUUGAUCUCAGAACAAAACCAACAGUGAAAUACCAAGAGCAUCCUGAACUCUUUCACUGCCUUUCUACCUCGCUUAGGCUCUAUCCUCCCAAAUGGCACAGAUCAUAAAAACUGUCAGCAGCACGUACCUGAAUAAUGCAUCAGGAGACUGGAAGUUACUAAAAGGAAAGAAAAAAUCCCAAACUGCUGAAGCAGCAAUACUACCUACCAUUACUGAGUGUCAGUUUGUGAUAGCGUUUACUGGUAGCUUCUGUUACUUAUGUGGAAUAGUUCAUAAUUCAUAAGGAAACAUUCCUGCUUAUUUGUUCCACACAAUAAAAUGAUCUCACUCUGGAGCACAGAGCCAGGGACCAAUGGGGUAGUUAAUAUAUCAGCUUUAUAAUCUUAGACAUAGUUAACAUUUUUUAGCCUCAGUUUUCCCGUAUACGAACUAGGGAAAAUGCUGUUUUCAGAGUUGUGCUGUUGAAAUUAUGAAUUUAAUUGUCCUUAAAUUAUCCAUGUUUCCUAAAUAAAAUGCAUCAUCCUGAUGAAUUUUUGGGCCAACGUUUCUUAUGAGGUUUUAAUGUUAAGAAAAAG